AGAGUUCGAUUAUGGCUCAGGACGAACGCUGGCGGCGCGCCUAACACAUGCAAGUCGAACGGAGUUAUUUUUUCGGAAAUAACUUAGUGGCGGACGGGUGAGUAACACGUGAGCAACCUGCCUUUGUGAGGGGGAUAACGUCUGGAAACGGACGCUAAUACCGCAUAAAGCAUAUUUAUCGCAUGAUAGAAAUGCCAAAGAUUUAUCGCACAGAGAUGGGCUCGCGGCUGAUUAGCUAGUUGGCGGGGUAACGGCCCACCAAGGCGACGAUCAGUAGCCGGACUGAGAGGUUGAACGGCCACAUUGGGACUGAGACACGGCCCAG
rnacentral:rRNA from 1 species